rnacentral:lncRNA from 1 species
AUCAACAACAUUUGGAAAAUUAAAUACAUCAAUGGGAAAUACACAAUCAGCAGGAACAACAUUUGUGAAUUCUUCAACAACGUCUUCAAAUACCUCUUCAACUACCCCUUCAGCAAACUCUUCGACAGUCAAGUCUUCAACUUGGAGGGUACCAUUGUUAAGCAAGACCUGGAUACCCUGCUGCAGCUUCAAGCAAUCCUUACCCUGUGUAGUGCAUUCCGAACAACCUUUCCCACAACCGGGGAAGACAUCGGCCUUCAACAAGCAUUCCUUAAUUUCCCACAACGGGGUCUUCAACUUCAACACAUCCUUAACAGACUUGGCUUCUCC